GUGCCAGCAGCCGCGGUAAUACGUAUGUCCCGAGCGUUAUCCGGAUUUAUUGGGCGUAAAGCGAGCGCAGACGGUUCAUUAAGUCUGAAGUGAAAGCCCACAGCUCAACUGUGGAAUGGCUUUGGAAACUGAUGGACUUGAGUGCAGUAGAGGCAAGUGGAACUCCAUGUGUAGCGGUGGAAUGCGUAGAUAUAUGGAAGAACACCAGUGGCGAAGGCGGCUUGCUGGACUGUAACUGACGUUGAGGCUCGAAAGUGUGGGGUAGCAAACAGGAUUAGAUACCCUGGUAGUCCACACCGUAAACGAUGAAUACUAGGUGUUAGGAGGUUUCCGCCUCUUAGUGCCGAAGCAAACGCAUUAAGUAUUCCGCCUGGGGAGUACGACCGCAAGGUUGAAACUCAAAGGAAUUGACGGGGACCCGCACAAGCGGUGGAGCAUGUGGUUUAA
rnacentral:rRNA from 1 species